AUGGCCGCACGCCUUGCGCUCGUGGCGGCGCUCCUUUGCGCCGGUGCCGCGGCCGCCGCGGCGCAGCAGGCGAGCAACGUCCGGGCGACCUACCACUACUACCGCCCAGGUCAGAACGGCUGGGACCUGGGCGCCCCCGCCGUGAGCGCCUACUGCUCCACCUGGGACGCCGGCAAGCCGUUCUCGUGGCGGUCCAAGUACGGCUGGACGGCGUUCUGCGGCCCCGCUGGCCCCCGCGGCCAGGCGUCGUGCGGGCGGUGCAUCCGGGUGACCAACAUGGGCACGGGGGCGCAGAUCACGGCGAGGAUCGUGGACCAGUGCGCCAACGGCGGGCUGGACCUCGACUGGGACACCGUGUUCGUCAAGAUCGACACCGACGGCAUGGGGUACCAGAGGGGCCACCUCAUCGUCAACUACCAGUUCGUCGACUGCCGCGACAACCGCAUCAACUUCCAUGGAAAGAACGAGACGCUCCCAGCCAGCACUCAUGCGGUUGAGUAA
rnacentral:rRNA from 1 species